GGACUCAGUAUGCUGGCAGCUCAGAUAAUGGAAAGUUAUGGCCAGACGUGGUGGCUCAUGCCUGUAAUCCCAGCACUUUGGGAGGCUGAGGUGGGCAGAUCACGAGGUCAAGAGAUCGAGACCAACCUGGCUAACGUGAUGAAACCCUGUCUCUACUAAAAAUACCAAAAUUAGCUGGACGUGGUGGCGCGGCCCUGUAGUCCCAGCUACUUGGGAGGCUGAGGCAGGAGAAUCUCUUGAACCCGGGAGGCAGAGGUUGCAGUGAGCCGAGAUCGCCCCACUGCACUCCAGCCUAGGGGACAGAUCAAGACUCCGUCUCAAAAAACAAAAAAAAGGAAAGUUACAGAUAGAGGAAUGAGAACAAACCUGCUGCCAGCGACAUCUGCAUGCAUGUCUCAUUGUGCACUGCUAAAGUGCGUCUCUAGAGACGCCUAGACAUGGGACUCUGGAUGGCAAGAGCACCUUCAUCUUUCCCCGGCUUCCCGAACUGCUCACUGAAGGGAUGGUGCCUACUUACACACCCACUAUCGUGUGAUUUUCUCUUUCCCCAUCCUGGCUCAUACUUACUGAUAAUGGACUCAGAACGUUUGCCGACAUGAUGACUGUGAAAUGGUAGCUCAUUAUUUUAAUUUGUAUUUGUAUUUCCCUGAUUAAUGAAGUUGGACAUCUUUUCAUGUUUACUGACAUUUGGUUUCUUCCUCUGUGAAUUUCCUCUUCAUAUCAUUUGCCAAUGUUUCUGUUGUGAGAUCUUUUUCUUAUUGGCUUAUAGGUAUUUCAUUAAAAAUCUAUUCUGGAUCUUAAUCAUAUCACCAAACAUUUAAUGUGAUUACUAAUACGAUUGCAUUUAAAUCUACCAUCUUACUAGUUAUUUUCUGUGUGUUCCAGGUGUUCAGUGAUACCUCUCUCUCUCUCUCUCUCUCUCCCCAACUGCCUGCUUUGAGGUUGAGGUUUUUUUUUUUAAUUCUAUUUUUAUAUUAGUAUUCUAUUUCUUAGUAAUUUCUAUUUUUCACCAUUCUCUUACUAGUUACAUAUAAUUUUAAAUGGUUGUCCUCAGUUUUACAAUAUACAUCUUUAAUUUUCUAACAGUCUACAUAAAUUAUGCCACUUCACAUAUGGUGUGAUAACCUUACAACAGGUUAUCCCUACCAUCUUUUAUACUGUUGUUAGCAUACAUUUUAUGUUUAUGUAUAUAAUCUCCACAAUACCUUGUUAGAUGGGCAGAUGGCAAAUAUCUUCUCCCAGCCUGUCUUUUAACAUGUUUCAUGGUAAGUGUUGCACAAACAUUAAAAUUAUUUAAAGUAUUAUUUAUAUGCAGUGUAAUGCACAGAUUUCAAGUUUAUGGCUUUUCUAGCUUUGACAAAUGCAAAGACUUAAGUACUCCAUACCUGCCAUCAAGAUAUAAAACAUUUCAGUCGGGCAUGGUGGCUCAUGCCUGUAAUCCUAG
rnacentral:lncRNA from 1 species